rnacentral:hammerhead_ribozyme from 1 species
AUACAGCUGACGAGUCCCAAAUGGGACGAACCGUGCGUCCUAGAU